GGUCAUGAGUGCCAGCGUGAAACCCCGGUUUGCUGGCCGGCAACCCUCCUCUCGCGGCGGGGUGCCCCGGGUGACGACCAGGCCGUACGCCGACCGGCGCGCGGCAAGCGCGGGGA
rfam:Cellulosimicrobium funkei strain T11 contig00022, whole genome shotgun sequence.